rnacentral:rRNA from 1 species
UAUGGAUCUUCGGCAUGGACGGAAUCUGACCGAGCAACGCCGCGUGAGUGAAGAAGGUUUUCGGAUCGUAAAGCUCUGUUGUAAGAGAAGAACGAGUGUGAGAGUGGAAAGUUCACACUGUGACGGUAUCUUACCAGAAAGGGACGGCUAACUACGUGCCAGCAGCCGCGGUAAUACGUAGGUCCCGAGCGUUGUCCGGAUUUAUUGGGCAGUAAAGCGAGCAGCAGGCGGUUAGAUAAGUCUGAAGUUAAAGGCUGUGGCUUAACCAUAGUACGCUUUGGAAACUGUUUAACUUGAGUGCAAGAGGGGAGAGUGGAAUUCCAUGUGUAGCGGUGAAAUGCGC